CUACGGGUGGCUGCAGUGAGGAAUUUUGCGCAAUGGGGGCAACCCUGACGCAGCAACGCCGCGUGAGUGAAGAAGGCCUUUGGGUCGUAAAGCUCUGUCAACUGGGAAGAAGUUAUCUGUAUUUAAUAGAUACAGGUAUUGACGGUACCAGUGGAGGAAGCAUCGGCUAACUCCGUGCCAGCAGCCGCGGUAAUAUGGGGGAUGCAAGCGUUAUUCGGAAUUAUUGGGCGUAAAGGGCGCGUAGGCGGUCUUGUCGGUCAGAUGUGAAAGCCCGGGGCUCAACCCUGGAAGUGCAUUUGAAACAGCAAGACUUGAGUACGGGAGAGGAAAGCGGAAUUCCUGGUGUAGAGGUGAAAUUCGUAGAUAUCAGGAGGAACACCGAUGGCGAAGGCAGCUUUCUGGACCGAUACUGACGCUGAGGCGCGAAGGCGUGGGUAGCGAACAGGAUUAGAUACCCGCGUAGUC
rnacentral:rRNA from 1 species